rnacentral:rRNA from 1 species
AAUUAUUAUUAGAUUUUUAAAUAAUUAUUCACGAAAUAAAUUGAGCUAAAUUUUUGGUAUUUUUGGAAAUUAUAACUAUAUGUUACAAAAUAUAUUAACUAAAUAGAUUUAGGGGUGAAAGGCCUAUCAAAUUUUAUGAUAUCUUGAAGUAUAUAAAAUAUAUCAAGUAUUUUAAUUCAACUAUUGAAUGUUUAGGUUCAAUAGUAACAUUAUAUUUUUUAAAAAAUAGUUCAAUUUUUUUAAGUAAAAUUGAGUUAGAGCAUAAAAUAUACAUCAAAUUUUUAUUAUAUGAAUAUAAAUAUACUACGGUUAUUAAUAAAUAUAAUCAUAUAUAAUGUAAUUAUUAGUAAUAGUUUAUUAAACUAUAUAAAGGAAUUCGGCAAGAAAAUUUUUCACCUGUUUAUCAAAAACAUAGCUUAUUGAAUAUCAUAAUAAGUAACCCCUGCUCAAUGGAAAUCUAAAUAGCCGCAGUACCUUGACUGUGCAAAGGUAGCAUAAUCAAUUGGCUUAUAAUUGAAGUCUGGAAUGAAUGGGUAAUCUGGAAAAUAACUGUCUUUAUUUGUAGUAUUUUGAAUUUACUUAUAAAGUGAAAAUACUUUAAUAUAAAUAUAAGACGAGAAGACCCUAGAAAUUUUUUGUUAAUAACUUUUGUUGGGGCGACAGGGUAACAUAUAAACUUACUUACAUUUAUAUAAAUCUUAUAAGGUACGUAACUAAAUUACUCUAGGGAUAACAGCAUAAUAUAUAAAAGUUUAUGACCUCGAUGUUGGACUAGGUAAUUAAAUAUUUAAAAGAUAUCUUAAUUUGCUCUGUUCGAGCAGUACCACCUACAU